CAUUUCUAUUUAAGCCUCGGGAAGUUUUGUUUCUUUUACAUAAAACUGAUUUUAGGGUUUUUGCUAAUUGUGGUGGUCGCCGAUGACUGGGUGGAGUCCGGUGACGGCGGAGAGUCGCCGGCGACAGUGGCGACAGGGCAGUGGUGGUGGCUGUGCUAACAGGCCACUCCAUCUCAGAUACGUUCGGUUCAGUCAAGUCCGGCUUAGAUUCAGGCGAAUAAAAAUGGUUUUUAUUAUCGUGGAACGUUUGUGCUUUUCGUUUGAGAUUAGGGCUCCAACAAGUAUGCUUUAGUAAAUUAAGGCUCCAAUUUCAGAGUUCUUCACUUCGAUCGCAGGUACGCUUGAAGAUAAGCACCGUUGGACUGCAAUGAUCUAGAACUGCGAAUCAAUAAUCUGAAAGAGACUUUUGAUUGAUCCUGGUGAAGAUCAAUGUCAUCAGGUCAAUGUUCUCCUAUUUGUCUCCAAUUCUGUUAGGAGAGGGAUUGCUAGGGUUGAGGUGGAGGUGGAAAUGGAAGCCCAGUCGCAGUCAAAGAAUUUUGAGAUCUAUAAGUUGUUCAAUAGACCGUGUUACUGUCAAGUUGUUAAUCAUGAGAUGUCGCAAAGGAAUCAAGAAAAUGUUGGCAAAGGGGUUGGGAUAAGCUUGGUGUCAACCGGUAUCGAACCAGUACUGGUAUCGAAAAUACCGGUACGGUCCUGUUCGGUAUCAGUACGUGAAGGUAAAACCCGUGACUAAUACAGAAAACGUCAAAAGUUGGUGCCGAAUUGACAUUGGAAAUCUUUUGGUUCGGAAAUUCAGUGCUUCUAUCCGGUACCAUUUGCUCAUCCCUGAUCACGGUUACCGUAUGAACAACAGCUCGGUACCAACCGAUACAGAAUUGGUACUGAUACCAAAAAUACCGGUUACAGUACCCAUAUAUAAAGGUAAAAAACGGUAGAGAACCGGUACUAGGUACGCCAAUAGUCUCUCGGCUUCCUAUGCAAUAUAGGAACCUUUAAGCCGCCAUUAAGGUAUGGCUUGCUUUGAGUUAUUAACAUUGGAGCACAAGUUGUAUUUCUGGACUGGACACAUUCAUGGCAAUGAUAGAACCAAGCAUUAGGAUUAAGUUCCUCCUCGCAAACUUCACAGAAUAGUCACCCUCAUGGUUUUCAAUUGGGGAGUAAGCAUUGUUUUCUCUGCUGCAUGUCAUCAUCUGGAGGGGAAAUGGGUGGGUCGGUCAGUUGCUAACAUGUCAAAACGAGUACUUUUAAAUUUAUACGAAUCAAAACUGGUUGGGUUGACACAGAAAUCUCUUAGAAAUUUCCCUAUCGUUGAUUUCAAGGAAGGUAACUUUAUUUCCAAAUUUUCUAUGGGAGGAGCCAAAGAAGCAAACAUAAGUUUAUUUUUGUAUGUUUAAGUUAUCGAAUGUUAGGUUUUCUAAGUUAGGAUGUGUUACCUUUCUCCCCAGAUUGCUUCUUUGCAAUUUGCUUAUUAUUGUAAUAAGAAUUUAGCAUGCCAAAUACGAUUAAAAAAGCUAUGCAAUUCAAUAACAAUAUGAUUUUGGAGUUUUAAUUAAUGCACAAAAAAGUAUAUUUUGGAAGACUUCCAACCUAUCCAACCCAUAUAACAUGUUUCUUUUUUUUUUAUCAUUAUUUUAGUUUCACGUGCUUGACCUGCUAGAGAUAAAGCAUAAUCCAAAUCUACCCAUCAAAGUCAUUGAGUUUACAUUGUCACCUCUAUCAAAUGUUCUUAACAACCAAUUACCAUUUUAUUGUUAGUUUUGGGCCGUCUAGUAGAAGAUUUCAGCGGGGCAGCUACAUGUGGGCCAGAGAUAACAUCGAUAAAAAUCACAAGGUUCAACUGUAUAUGUAAAGCUAAAGUCAAUAUAAUAUAUGUAAAGUUCUAAAAAUAUGGUCAGGGCAAUGUUACAUUAGUUUGUUGGGUGUUAUUCGUGUAUGCAGUGGCGAAGCUUGAGAUGUCCGAUCGGGGGGCGAAAGUCACAGGACCUAAAAAUUUUUAUAAAACCGGAGGGUUGAAAAUAUAAAUACCAAAAAAUUUCUAUAUGUACAUACUCUGUCGGCCGCCCCGUCCCGCCCUUUAGAAGCUUUGUCCACGCAUAUUGUGUAUAUGGUUUUGGUUGUGUAUCGGUUUGAAAGGGGGUCUGGGCCAUGAUUAAUGAUUGAAGAAAUAAGGUAUUAUGU